rnacentral:lncRNA from 1 species
AUAAAUUGUAGCGUUUUAUGUUUUCGUUCAUAGUGUUUUAACCAAACAGUUGUGGCUACUCAUGGUGAGGAAUGACCGCUAAGAGUUUGGGUUCUUUCAAUGCAUUUGGAGGUCACUGCUACACGUUGAUGUUUAGGAGGUUGAGAGGUUUGCCUUUAGGUAAGUUGUGGCCAGGGGGAGUGUCCCAUGGGUAAGUGGUGGCCCUGUAGGGUGACGGAGAGCUAGGGGAGGCGCAAUCAGACUGCAGAAUUCCCCGCAGCCACCAUGAGGGUCAGGAGCAGGCCGGGGACCCAGCCGUGGAGGAAGGUGGCCCAGAAGCGUUUGUCUGAUGUGCACAGCUACACCCUGCCUGGCCACAUGGGGUUCCCUGUUUUCUCUCUGCCGGGUGGUGGCAGAGUUGGUGAGACACCAGGUGCCUGUGAUGCAUUGGGUAGACAGGUUCUUUGAGAACGUCAGCACAGACUUCUUGCACGAGCGGUACUCACUUCCUCCAGCAUGGGGAGUGACAUGAAGAGCAAGGGUUUUCCUUUCAAACUGGGCAUAGCUGCAGAGCCACAGGCCGUCUCAGACAUUUCCACAAAGCCACUCCGGGAGGCGGGCUGCGCCCGUGUGAGGGCUCUCCCUCGGCACUGCUCAUCUUUUGGGGCUGGACAUGCGUGGCCCUGGGC